UGAGUUAGGGGGCUACUAACUGUCCUUUUGUUUCGCAACAAAGAAUAGUGAGGAAGUAAUCACCACCAGAGGAUGCAAUGCGUCAGCAACAAUUAUUCACUGCUCAAAAGACCCUAUCACCACACAUACGCAGUUACGCCCACACAGUCAAUUCAAAAGUACCAAGUGUCAGGUAGAGCUGUAUUGUUUUGAGAUUAUUCUCACACCACAGCUGUCUAAUGAAGUCAAGGUCAUAUUUUCACUCUUUUCACAUGGCAACAAACUGACAGAGAUUGUGUGGAAAAUACUGAGAUGAACGAGUGAAAGAUGAUGACACUUGAUAUUGAUGAGACAUUGAGUGUGACAGGAAAGGAGGAGCGGUGAUCCUGUCCUAGCCUGACAUCGCGUAGCUCCUCUACACAACCCCUUUCCCUGUGCCUUUCAUUAUCACCCGAUAUAGUUAUAGUCAAUUUCCCUAACUGUCAAACCCUCCGCUGCCAAGACAACGCUCUUCAUGGAGACAGAGUGACGAAUGCAUAUUACAAGAGUGAAUAAAACCGUGGUCAUCCCGUCAGUUCCUCUCACCAGAGCCUGAAGCGGAGGUUAAAGUCAGAGCUACCGUGAGAUGGCAUCAUGGCGGACAACAGGCGAAUUAUAGGAGUGGAGACAGAGAGGUUGAACAAGAGGGCG